rnacentral:rRNA from 1 species
AGAGUUUGAUCCUGGCUCAGGACGAACGCUGGCGGCGUGCCUAACACAUGCAAGUCGAACGGAAAACAUAGCAAUAUGUUUUUAGUGGCGAACGGGUGAGUAACGCGUAGACAACCAACCUUUUUGUGGGGGACAACACUUCGAAAGGAGUGCUAAUACCGCAUACGCUCCAGAUGCCGCCUGGUGUUUGGAGGAAAGGAGCUUUACGGCUUCGCAAAAAGACGGGUCUGCGUCUGAUUAGCUAGUUGGAGGGGUAACGGCCCACCAAGGCGACGAUCAGUAGCCGGUCUGAGAGGAUGGACGGCCACACUGGGACUGAGACACGGCCCAGACUCCUACGGGAGGCAGCAGUGGGGAAUCUUCCGCAAUGGACGAAAGUCUGACGGAGCGACGCCGCGUGAGUGAUGAAGGCCCUUGGGUCGUAAAGCUCUGUCAUCAGGGACGAACGGUCACGUCAGGAAAUGGGCGUGAAUUGACGGUACCUGAGAAGGAAGCCACGGCUAACUACGUGCCAGCAGCCGCGGUAAUA